GUUUUUGGCAAGCGCUGGAAGCAAAAUUACUUACGAAUCUCGUACACCACAUCCGGGUUGAGCUUCUGGAGCAGCGAGAUUACGUGCUUCGUUUGGCAUAAUGAGUGCAUCCAGUCGGUAGCAAACGAUCCAUUUUGCUUGGAACUCCCUCGCGCCCAUUAGUCCCCAUUAAGUGACCUCCAGUAGUGGUGGUGGUGUGUCAAAAGGUCGGCUUUGAAAUUCUAAUUGCCUGCAGCAAACGUUAGCUCAUCCAAGUAGUCUGGGCGUUGGAUAUUGUCCCAACGACACAGCAAAAUGGACGUCGGGUUUCGUGCCGUUAAUGAGGGGAUGAUAUUGUCAGCCCUUUAUUUAUUACUUUAGUGCAAAGAAGCAUGGAAGACCAGGACAGCAAAACAAAAAAAAAAAAAAACAAUAAAAAAGAUACGAAAUUGAUGUGCUAUGUCCUUUCAAUAAAGUGUGCGUGUGUAAACCAGGGCAAUCGAAUUUUCUUUUCGCGCUCGUGUAACACUCCUAACAUAACGCGUUUAAACUACUAUCGCGCAAUUUAUAAAUAAUUUAUUAAUUUCUUUCUGCCCCCUUCUUUCAGUUUUAUGUGUACCGGUGCCGCCUUAAAGUGGCGUCAUGUUUGAGUGAAUUUGAAGAGGGGGGCGGGGGGUUGAUUUUUGGAAAAUAAAAACCGAAUCUGACCUGAUCCAAAACAACGCACCAAUGAGUUAAUAAACUUUCCACCCUUUUUUUUUACUCGUAGCGCUUCAUAACACGUGUGUUACGAGCAUGCUUUAAAAAAAACGACAAAGUACGUCAAAACCGAUCACAAAAGUACGGAAAACGUUUGCUACACUUGAGUCAAUAUUUUUACCAAUCCAAUGGGGGAUGGUGGUGGUGAAGGAACAACAGAUUGUUUGAUGGGGCUUCGCGGAUGUCAAUCAUUUGUUUAACAAGCCUUACCCGCCCUCUCGGUACGGCAUUACCAGUGUCCUGCGUAUCUGUUUCAAGAAUCCAAGAAGCCAUAGGAUAAGAAAUUCAAAUUGAAAGGGAAAUUCUAUGACUCUUCUUACUAUGGACCAGGCGUCUGUUUAAACGAGUGUAGUACCCCCCGCGCAUAUAAUCCCCAAGGCUAAUUCCUAUGCUGCACAUUUACUACCGGGUAUGUUUUGUUGACUGGAACAGGAAUUGUAUCGGAUACAUACCCGAAAGGCCCAAGAAUCGUUCCGAGUCCGACUCCAGAACAGUUUUAGGUACAGUUCUUGAAAAAAAGGAAAUCGGGAGCUUUUUCUGGAUCAGUAUGUGUUCACGAUCGGUACCCACCAGGACCAGAAUGGGUAUCGGUAUCAGUUCCAGGUCCUUUAUGGGUUUAGUUGUAGUUCCAGGAGUAAUGUUUAUUCAUGAGUAUUUCCAGGACCGGUAUGGGUUCAGUAUCAGUUCCAAGUCCUGUAUUUAUUCAGUAUCACUUCCAAGACCGGUAUGGUUACAUCAUAGGUUCUAGGACCGGUAUGGGUUCAUGAUAGAUUCCAGGAUCAUUAUGGGUUCAUGACAGGUUCCAGGACCGGUAUGGGUUCAUGAUCCUUUCCAGGGCAGGUAUGUUCAGUAUUUGUUCCUGGAUCCGUUAGGAUUCAGUUUCGGAUCCUGGACUUGCGUUGGUUCAAUGCCGGUUCUGAAGGCAUUAGGUCAUAUGUAAUUCUUGAAACAGAAAAGGUUAUGUAUUGGUGUUAAGGAAAAUUAUAGGUUUGAUUUUGAUUUUAGGUCUCUUGAGGGGUGGUCAUAAGAAACUCAUUUUAAAUGGGUUUCGAGUCCAUUGCUUUCAAUACACUCUUUACAGUAAAGGGGAUGUUUGAAAUUUAUUUGCGUAGCUCUGUAACCUGGCCAAAUAACAUAUUCUAAUUAUCUCUUGAAGUUUUAUUUAAUUCUUUUCAAUUGACAAUAAUGUUACACAGAAGAGAAGAAACCUUUCUUUCUUUUGCAUUUUAUUCGCUUCAUCAUCAUCAUCAUUUGCAUAAGACACUAGAGUUUCACAGCUACAGCAAUAAGUAACAUUACAGCAGUAAGAAAUACUUAAAUACGGCCAACGCCUGUUGUAGUUUAUAAUUUCAUGCCAACCAUCCAUUUUUUGUAAACAAAUGUUCUGUCCGAGACACGGGAGGGGGAAAUAAUUUUAACCAUUUUGCGUGUCCAAAAGCA